AACCAUGACUGUCCCUUUAUGAUUUAGUGUUAAACGCAGGCUCUGAACCAAAUCAAAACUGAUCAUAAACCCACAUAUUUGAUUAAUCAUGGCAAGAUG